AGUGGGGAAUAUUGCACAAUGGGCGAAAGCCUGAUGCAGCAACGCCGCGUGAGCGAUGAAGGCCCUCGGGUCGUAAAGCUCUGUCCUCAAGGAAGAUAAUGACGGUACUUGAGGAGGAAGCCCCGGCUAACUACGUGCCAGCAGCCGCGGUAAUACGUAGGGGGCUAGCGUUAUCCGGAAUUACUGGGCGUAAAGGGUGCGUAGGUGGUUUUUCAAGUCAGGAGUGAAAGGCUACGGCUCAACCGUAGUAAGCUCUUGAAACUGUAAAACUUGAGUGCAGGAGAGGAGAGUGGAAUUCCUAGUGUAGCGGUGAAAUGCGUAGAUAUUAGGAGGAACACCAGUUGCGAAGGCGGCUCUCUGGACUGUAACUGACACUGAGGCACGAAAGCGUGGGGAGCAAA
rnacentral:rRNA from 1 species